AUGUCUGGGGGUUGGUGCUCAUCUCCAUUUCUAAGCCCAAGAGCCAGUGUUGUCCAUAGACACCUCCAAGGUCAUGUGGCCGGCAUGACUACAUGGAGUGCCAUUACCUUCCCAGAAACACCCAGAAAAUGGGAAUUCCAGACAGGAAACAAUCAGGGCCAGCUAAUACCUCCCAACAAAGGAUUCCCCCAGCUUCAAAGCCUGGCUGCUUCCUACCUGGGGGAAUCCUUUGUUGGGAGGUAUUAGCUGGCCCUGAUUGUUUCCUGUCUGGAAUUCCCAUUUUCUGGGUGUUUCUGGGAAGGUAAUGGCACUCCAUGUAGUCAUGCCGGCCACAUGACCUUGGAGGUGUCUAUGGACAACACUGGCUCUUGGGCUUAGAAAUGGAGAUGAGCACCAACCCCCAGAGUCAGACAUGACUGAACUUAACGUCAAGGGAUACCUUUACCUUUACCUAUACACACACACACACACACACACACACACACACAUAUGCAGGGACUAUAUAUAUAUAUAUACACAGUAUAUAUCACACACACACCAAUUUAACAAAGUUUCAGCCACAAAAACAAAGUUUCUGAAGUAGAACAAUGACUUUCACAGUAAAGACAACCCAAUUUAACAGGAAAUAAGACUUUCAAACCAGGAACAGAUUUCUGCAAUUAUUAAAAAAUGGUUUAUUAUAAAAGCUAUGAAAAUUCGCCAAAAAUCAGAGGAUAAGGGAAACGUUCCAAAUUUUGGUGAGCUAUCAGUGUUAAAUGUGUUCUACCACUGUACCAAGUUUGAAGAAGAUCACUCAAAAAAUGAGGGUGGGAGAGUCCUGUAAAGUCCUCUCCCUCUGUGCUGUUUUUGGGAAUUGCGCAUGCGCGUCCGACAUUAACGAAUUAAUUUUGAAGAUAACGAAUUUUCGUUAAUUUCAAAUUUUUGGGGGGGCAAAAUUUGGAAAUACCGUCAGAAACGAAACGCUGCCCCCCUCUAGUUUUGAAACGAGUUUAGAAUCAAAUUUUUCGUGGAUCGAUCAAGCCUACUAGGCAUCUUGAAAAAUGGGCUAGACAGCUACCUGCUGGGGAUGUUCUACCUGUAUUUCCCGCUCCAAGAGG
rnacentral:lncRNA from 1 species